rnacentral:rRNA from 1 species
GACGAACCGUGCGAACGUUGUUCGGAAUCACUGGGCUUAAAGGGCGCGUAGGCGGCUUUGCAAGUGACGGGUGAAAUCCCUCGGCUUAACCGAGGAACUGCCUGUCAGACUGCAUGGCUUGAGACCAGGAGAGGUGAGUGGAAUUCCCAGUGUAGCGGUGAAAUGCGUAGAUAUUGGGAGGAACACCAGUGGCGAAGGCGGCUCACUGGACUGGUACUGACGCUGAAGAACGAAAGCCAGGGGAGCAAACGGG